rfam:Scardovia wiggsiae F0424 genomic scaffold supercont1.1, whole genome shotgun sequence.
GGGCCCAUAGCUCAGCUGGUUAGAGCGCGUCCCUGAUAAGGACGAGGUCGGAGGUUCAAGUCCUCCUGGGCCCA